AUUGAACGCUGGCGGCAGGCCUAACACAUGCAAGUCGAGCGAGCGGCGGACGGGUGCGUAAUGUCUGGGAAACUGCCUGAUGGCGGGGGAUAACUACUGGAAACGGUAGCUAAUACCGCAUACCAUCAGAUGUGCCCAGAUGGGAUUAGCGAGUGGGUGGGGUAAUGGCUCACAUAGGCGACGAUCCCUAGCUGGUCUGAUAGGAUGACCGGCCACACUGGAACUGAGACACGGUCCAGACUCUUACGGGAGGCAGCAGUGGGGAAGAUUGCACAAUGGGCGCAAGCCUGAUGCAGCCAUGCCGCGUGUGUGAAGAAGGCCUUCGGGUUGUAAAGCACUUUCAGCGAGGAGGCGUUACUCGCAGAAGAAGCACCGGCUAACUCCGUGCCAGCAGCCGCGGUAAUUC
rnacentral:rRNA from 1 species